rnacentral:lncRNA from 10 species
ACACUCGAAGGAAGUUGCACGCCAAAUGCAAAACCUCCAGCGAGCUGGAUUUCUUUGCACUUUUUUUUUAUUAUUAUGAUUAAGGAAAGCAGGGGGCGGCAGGCUUAAAAGCAAGUUGCAGGCGAAAUAGUGACAUCGCUUGCCAGCUCCUGACACGGGCGGGGGCUGCCGCAGCUCCACCUAAUCCUGCUCGGGCGCUCGGCCACAGCCACUCUCUCACCUCCCGCCGCGCUCAGACUGACGGCGGCUCCCCCUGCUCUGACAUCUUGAAGACGAUUGGGGAAGCGCGUCCCGGAAGCCGCCCGCCGCCAUCUUGGGUAAACGGUUCCCUGUGCAUUGUCUGAUGUGAAAGGAAAGAAGUAGGCUUUCAGCAAGCCUCUUGUCCGGAGACGAUCUACGGGGGCCGCCUCCAGAGGAUUCUGGAGCCGCCAUCUUGGCAAAGGAAGAGAUACUCGCCACCUCGGAAAAGAAGAGGGAACCAACCGUAUGCCAACGUAGAACCCUCAGCCAGAAGAAUUUUUAUGAAGGGCGCUGAGCAACUCCAUGUUAACAAAACCCCCUUCUGGACCCAGAAGGCAGACUCCGCUUCUCCUGUCCCUUGGCACAAGUCAACUAGAAGGAGGCCCUUGCUUUGGAUGCUCAUCUGUGAGGCUAUGAGAACACUGCUUGACCUAGUUGCCCGUUUUUCCAAUUUCUGAGCCUCAAGCACUAGAAUGAGAUGUCUUUCGUUAAUUUGGCCCCUAAACUACCAACAGUUUCAUGGGAAACAAAUCAAGACCCAACCCUACAAUAAUGUUUUACACGUUUUAAAAGUGAGUUAAAUAGCCCAUGCUAAUAAUUAUCCUUGUACACUGCUUAAAAUGAUUAAGAAUUCUAUUUAUAUAUACAUGUAUGUAUACAUAUGUAUACACAUAUAUAUUAUAUACAUAUAUAUGUAUAUAAUUAAGGGGACAAUACAGUUGUCUAAUAGAACACAUCUCCCCAUGCCAUUAGCCUGUCUCACUGCUGAAUCUCUGCUCUAAGAAUCCACCUCAUCGCUCAUACAUGCUCAAAUCCUUAGUGGUAGGUACUCUGCUUAAAUAAUUUAUGAUUUCACAAGAGUUCCCAAUUAUUCUCCCUUCAUUUUUUUUUCUCUGCAGAUCUUAAUGGGGAAGAAUACGUAGUUUUAAAUAUGCCAUUGAAAACGUUUUUAAUUGAGCAAAAAAAAAAAAAAACUUAUCCUAAUUUCUCUCUUCAGCAAUCUAAAUGUGCCUGUUAAUUUUUUAAUUUGAUAGCAAAAAAAUUCUCAUUCUUUAGUCUUUCACAUUCAUUUGGAAGCAUGCAUGAACUAUAAGUUAACCCCUCUUUUUCAGAGUAAUACAAAUAGUUAUGAUUUGUGGCUAACAUUUAUUGAUCCCCACUCUUCUGCUGCCCACUUUUGCUGACAACAAUUAAAUGAGAUAGGUAUUGUUAUUCGAUUUUUCAAUAUGAGGACAACAGGCUUACAGAGGUUGAUGCUUGUCUAAGUUCACAUGGCUCCUAUGCAUUAAGAGAGGAAUUAGACAAUAUUAAAGUGGUUUUCCUCACUGAUCUCAAUCAUUAACAUGAAGUAGUAUAUCAAUUCUGAUAGACUACUUACAAUAUGUGCUUACGGAAUUUAAUUGAAGAGAUGAACUCCAGUGUGCCAGAAAGGACGUGAGAUUUAGCAUUAUAAUAAUAACACAAUUCUAACGAAAGUCAACAUUUAUUGCGCAUCUGCUGUCUGACAGACACUAUUGAAAGUGUUUUAUGCACAGUAUCCUAAGUCUUUAGGUAUGGCAUUUACUAAUCUGUAACCCUGGGAACUUAUAAUUACUACAAGAAAUAGGAUGAAUCCCUAUCUGAGUGGGAAGGUAUUUGAUUGUCUUAGAAGCAGAGGUGGAAAUGAAGGUGAUGUAUUCAGACUCAGUCAAGGCAAGGACCUGAUCUAUCUUGUCAUAGCUUUAUGUCCCACUCCUGGAACACAGCCCACUACAUAGCAGGCACCCAACAAAUACAUUACAGGGUUAUAAUAACAUUGAGUCAACUAGUUAACUAGAUGUAAAAUCACUUUUACUGGGUUAUUGUUGUGGCCAAAUGGGUUAAUAAAAAGUGUACAGAUAACCCUCAAGAUCCUCAUUUUUAUUGUUUUGUGUUUAAACAUCUGAGUGCUCCCCCCACUU